rnacentral:rRNA from 1 species
GAUGAACGCUGGCGGCGUGCCUAAUACAUGCAAGUCGAGCGAACAGAUAAGGAGCUUGCUCCUUUGACGUUAGCGGCGGACGGGUGAGUAACACGUGGGUAACCUACCUAUAAGACUGAAAUAACUCCGGGAAACCGGGGCUAAUGCCGGAUAACAUGUUGAACCGCAUGGUUCUACAGUGAAAGGCGGCUUUGCUGUCACUUAUAGAUGGACCCGCGCCGUAUUAGCUAGUUGGUGAGGUAACGGCUCACCAAGGCAACGAUACGUAGCCGACCUGAGAGGGUGAUCGGCCACACUGGAACUGAGACACGGUCCAGACUCCUACGGGAGGCAGCAGUAGGGAAUCUUCCGCAAUGGGCGAAAGCCUGACGGAGCAACGCCGCGUGAGUGAUGAAGGUCUUCGGAUCGUAAAACUCUGUUAUUAGGGAAGAACAAAUGCGUAAGUAACUGUGCGCGUCUUGACGGUACCUAAUCAGAAAGCCACGGCUAACUACGUG